UAUUGUUGAGCACUUAUGAUUAAAAAAAAUCUGGCCCUGACUUCAAGGAACCAUAUCAUACUCUUGAUAAUGGAAAUAGAAAAAGCACGAAAUCACAACCAAAUAGAAUAAUUUUAACAAUCAUUCUCAAUCCUAGAAAAAACUUAUGAAGCACACUUCACUUCAGUUUGUAGAAAGAUGUGGGAUACCUGGCAGUGGAUAAUGCACUGGGCCUGAAAUCAGCAAGACCUGAAUUCAAAUCCAGCUCAGAUACUUCUUAUAGCUGUGUGACCCUAGGCAAAUCAUUCAGCCUCUGAUUGCCAGACAAAAAAGAGAAGGAAAUGGUAAACCCCACUAGUGUGUUUGCCAAGACAUGGACAGUUGGUCCACAGAGUCCUGAUGAUUCAUGACUGAACAACAGCAAAAAAGUAGGACCGUGACUGGAUUGUCCAUGAUUGCUGGUUUGUUCUGUUUUGGUUAAUUGUUUUUUGUUUUUUAUUAGAAACAGAUUGGUGAUGAAGUAGAACACUGGGUUUGGAAUCAAGAAGAUCUCUGAACUGUAAUUCUGCAUUAGACACUUAGCAGCUGGGCCUCCCUAUUCCCUGACACACACCAAUAUUGAAAUUAGGCUGAUUAAUAAUCGUACAAUGGCCUCUAAGUGUUCCAGUGAAAUGAAGAAUCGAUCAAUGCUGCAUACUACUUUGCUAUCUUAUUUUAAGCAAUUACCACAGUUAUCCCCAUUUUUAAGGGAUAAAAUCUGUAUCAGUAAGCAGCCAUCAACAUGGUAGCAAAGCUUUCUACCAAUAAAACGAUUAUGACUCACUGAAGGUUCAUACGAUGGUUAGCAUUUUUUAGCAAUAAAGCAAAAAUGCUUAAAAAACAGUAUUAUUUUAUUUUUUCUCCCAAUUACAUAUAAAGACAAUUUUAAAGACAUUUUUAAUUCCAAAUUUUCUUCCUCCUUCCCUCUCCUCUCUUUUCCUUAAGAUGGUAAGCAAUUUGAUAUAGCUUACAUGUGUGCAAUCAUGUAAAACAUUUUAUUAGUUAUGUUGUGAAAGAGGAAACAAAAAAAGGACAAAACCAUGAAAAAAUAAAGUGAAAAUAGAAUGCUUUGAUCUGCA